rnacentral:rRNA from 1 species
GAUGAACGCUGGCGGCGUGCUUAACACAUGCAAGUCGAACGGUGAAAGAGAGCUUGCUCUCUGGAUCAGUGGCGAACGGGUGAGUAACGCGUGAGCAAUCUGCCCCUGACUCUGGGAUAAGCGCUGGAAACGGCGUCUAAUACCGGAUGCGAGCUGCGAAGGCAUCUUCAGCAGCUGGAAAGAAUUUCGGUCAGGGAUGAGCUCGCGGCCUAUCAGCUUGUUGGUGAGGUAACGGCUCACCAAGGCGUCGACGGGUAUCCGGGCUGAGAGGGGGACCGGCCACACUGGGACUGAGACACGGCCCAGACUCCUACGGGAGGCAGCAGUGGGGAAGAUUGCACAAUGGGCGCAAGGCCGAUGCAUCAGCGCGGCGUGGGGGACGACGGCCUUCGGGUUGUAAACCUCUUUUAGCAGGGAAGAAGCGAAAGUGACGGUACCUGCAGAAGAAGCACCGGCUAACUACGUGCCAGCCGCCGCCGUAAAAC